rnacentral:lncRNA from 12 species
AAGUGGUAGGAAGGGGCAGGUGCUGGGGGUGACAAGGAGGCCGGGGCUCUGAGGCUGUGGGAGGCCACGUGAGGGAUGCAGGAAACGGAACAUGCUCCCAGGUCUUUAGAAAUGACUGCGCCCAAGACGGGCUAUGGUGGAGUGAUUCUAAGUUGCACGUUUUCUGCAUGUUCAGGUGAUACAAAACACAGCCCGAAGACAGUCCGUGCAUGUGUGUUAGUUAUCUAUUGUUGUGGAACGAAUCACCCCAAAACUUCAUGGCUUCAAACAAUAAUAAGCAUGCAUUAGCUUUUCCAGUUUCUGGAGGUCAGGGAUUUGGGAGCAACUUGAUGGGGUGGCCCUCACCUGGGGUUUCUCAUGAGGCUUGAGGGCUGUAGUCAUGGGAUGGGUGGCCUGGGA